rnacentral:rRNA from 1 species
AGUGAACGCUGGCGGUAGGCCUAACACAUGCAAGUCGAACGGCAGCACAGUAAGAGCUUGCUCUUACGGGUGGCGAGUGGCGGACGGGUGAGGAAUACAUCGGAAUCUACUUUUUCGUGGGGGAUAACGUAGGGAAACUUACGCUAAUACCGCAUACGACCUACGGGUGAAAGCAGGGGAUCUUCGGACCUUGCGCGAUUGAAUGAGCCGAUGUCGGAUUAGCUAGUUGGCGGGGUAAAGGCCCACCAAGGCGACGAUCCGUAGCUGGUCUGAGAGGAUGAUAAGCCACACUGGAACUGAGACACGGUCCAGACUCCUACGGGAGGCAGCAGUGGGGAAUAUUGGACAAUGGGCGCAAGCAUGAUACAGCCAUAGCGAGUGGGUGAAGAAGGCCUUCGGGUUGUAAAGCCCUUUUGUUGGGAAAGAAAAGCAGCAGGUUAAUACCCCGCUGUUCUGACGGUACCCAAAGAAUAAGCACCGGCUAACUUCGUG